UACGGGGGGGGGCAAGCGUUGUCCGGAAUUAUUGGGCGUAAAGAGCUCGUAGGCGGUGUGUCGCGUCGGCCGUGAAAACCUGCAGCUUAACUGUGGGCUUGCGGUCGAUACGGGCAUCACUGGAGUUCGGCAGGGGAGACUGGAAUUCCUGGUGUAGCGGUGAAAUGCGCAGAUAUCAGGAGGAACACCGAUGGCGAAGGCAGGUCUCUGGGCCGAUACUGACGCUGAGGAGCGAAAGCGUGGGGAGCGAACAGG
rnacentral:rRNA from 1 species